CUCCCUUUCGGUUUGCGGUGAAACUUCGCAUCCUUCUUCCGCUCUCUCUCCUCUCUUUCUCUGCUCCUUUACGCGUUCUUCCGCCCAAACCCUAACCAUCUUGCGUACGAUCGUAUCCAACCGCGGUUUCAGAUCUCCAUCGCUGCCGAUCGGCUAAUCGCUCUUAUAUUUCCCGAUUGCGAUUCUUCUUAACGUCGUCGUUUUUCAGCUGAAUAAUGUCUUUUGUACGUAACAAUCGCUCACAAGGGGGCACUGCUGGUGAUGAGUACUGGCCGUCUCUCGGUAGAAAUGACGUCAAAAGCUUCAACAACUUCAACCACUUCAACCACAACAACAACAACUGGAACAGGAGCAGGACUAAUAACUUCGUUAAGAAUUAUAACAAUUAUCAGAAGUACAAUUAUAACAAUUACCAGAAGUACGUGGGUGGUUAUAAGGAGCAUGCUGAUAAUUCUAAUUAUAUCAAGCCUGACAGUGCAUCAUCGUUUAAGAGGAGAAAAUUUUCAGAUUCUACUUGGGGUGAUGGUGGGAGAGAUUAUCUGCCACCCAACACAUAUGAAUUUAUCUCUUCUUCGUGCAAUAAUUAUGUUCCUCAUCCAAGAUCCAAUGGUGAUGCCUCUGCAUCUACUACUGGUAAACGUGACCGCACAAAGUUAGAUGAAGAUGAACUGCCCUUUAUGUCAAGGGAUGAGAUAGAGAGAUGCUCCCCAUCUAGAAAAGAUGGUAUAGAUUCAGUACGUGAAGCACACUUGCGCUACUCAUACUGUUCUUACCUUCAGAAUCUUGGAUUGCGGCUUGACUUGCCCCAGACUACCAUCGCUACUGCAAUGGUUCUCUGUCAUCGGUUUUUCGCCCGGCGGUCACAUGCUUGCCAUGAUAGAUUUUUGAUUGCUACUGCCGCUCUGUUCCUAGCAGCAAAGUCCGAGGAGACACCACGCCCUUUGAAUACUGUGUUGAGAACAUCUUCUGAGAUUCUCCAUAAGCAGGAUAUCAGUUUCUUGUCCCAUAUGCUCCCUAUUGACUGGUUUGAGCAGCAUCGGGAACGGGUGACUGAGGCUGAGCAAAUGAUACUGACCACUCUAAAUUUUGAACUUGGUGUGCAGCAUCCAUAUGCACCACUUACAUCUACUCUUAACAAAUUAGGUCUUUCACAAACAAUUCUGGUGAAUCUGUCCUUAAGCUUGGUCAGUGAAGGGAUCUACACAAGAUUAGAGUUGAUCGCCUGUAUGAUAUUCUUAGCUGGCGGAUUGAUUUGCUGUUCAUGGAACUUUUGUUUUACUUCUGAAGUUGAACUGCCGAUAUUUUUUGGAUGAAUUUACCAUAAUAUGCCCUCACCAACUUAGUCAUUUGCUAUUGAAUAUAGCUACUUAGUCUCCAUGGCCAUUUUCAGUAUCUUCUUUUAACUUACUGAUGGAGCUUAUUAAGAAAAAGUCCUCUGAAGUCCUGCUACCAAACAUACAGUUUGUAAGACAUGGCUUUUUGUGGGAUUGGUUUUGGAGGAAAACCAUUGUCUAGGGAAGGAUUUCAUCUUUGUGAUUGGUAGCCCUUCCUGUCCCCAAUGCCAAUGCCGUUUUAUGAACCCUCGAAUGACUUCUCCUAAGUCCUGCUAACAACGAGGGGUUGCCAGAUAUCUAGGGGCUGCUUUAGGUUUAACAGUAUGAUACUCAGUUUUGAGUAUCAGGGCUUGCAGUCUGAUUUCAGUUUUGACCAAACUCUUUCUGAUGGAAGUUUACACUUUGGCCCAAGAAUUUGCAAAUUUUCGUAGAACUGUUGCCACUGGUGCAUGAGUCUCAGGAGCUUGCGUAGGUUUUUUCCUGACCUAGAUGUCUUGAAAGUUUUUGGUGUUGUAUUCUUUUUCGAUUACAGAAUGGAAUGGGAGACAUUAAAAUUUUGUAUGGUACCUGCCAUUCAUCUGUCCUGUCUCCCAAAGGAAAGAAAAAAGAGAUAUUUUUAAUGCAACACUGUGAAAUGAACAUGAGAGAAAUUGGCAAAAUGUGCUGACAGUUUUCCCCAUUAAUCGGCUUUGAGAUGCAACUUGUUUUCCCAUGAUGGGGAAAUAGGAGGCCAGGAAUAUAAAAAAAAUUUGAAAGUCAUCUGAAUUCCCAUAUCUUUUUGCAUGAUUUUCAUAUCAUAUCUAUUUGGUUCAUAUGUUUCUCAGGUAAUGAUCUCCGGAUCUAGAACCUGCCCAAAUAUUUAUGUCAAAACCUUGACCGUGAACUAUUUGGUUCCAUGUACUUGGUAUCAGAUAAUGUCAAUUUCCUAGCCCCAACUCCCGUGUAAGUGGUUUUUUAUAGUUUUGAAUAAAUUUGAGGUCACUUCACAGAUGGGAUGCAUUAUUUUUGCUUUGAAAAUGUUAUCAUAUCUUCUUGAGUUUUCUCAUAUUUAAACGUUAUCUUAACAUUUGUUUAAGUGAUGGAUAUUGUUAUAGUUGUGUUUUAAAACAGAAAAAAAGUUUUCUUGAAACACUAUAUCCUCCUGUUAGACAACUUAUUGUUUUACACAGAAGUACACAGUGGAAUAUAUAUACUUAUGUACAUUUUUUAAAGUUCUGCAUUCUUUUGUUGAAGAUUACUUUUGAAAAUGAUUUACGUGUUCUCAUUAGUGGCGUAUAUCGUCAGAAAAAAAUGAAAAGAAACAUUUUUUUUAGUUCCACAUUCUUUUGUCGAAGAUUACUUUUGAAAAUGAUUUACGUGUUCUCAUUAGUGGCAUAUAUCGUCAGAAAAAAAUGAAAAGAAACAUUUUUUAAAGUUCCACAUUCUUUUGUCGAAGAUUACUUUUGAAAAUGAUUUACGUGUUCUCAUUAGUGGCAUAUAUCGUCAGAAAAAAAUGAAAAGAAAAAUAAUUUAUUUGUGAAGAUAGAGGCAUAUACUUUUUGUGUCCUUCUUGGUUGCAUCCAGGGAGUUGAUGGCAUCCAUCCUUGUAGUUUCCAGAAGAAUCGAUGGCAUCCAUCCUGGUAGUCACCUGAAAAUUCCUACCAUUUUAGAAUCUGGGUUGUUCUAGGGGGCAUUCACCAUUUUUCGUAUUCCAAGAAGUUCUCAUCAAGUCUUGCUUCUGUGAGUGUUCUUUAUAUGUUUAUAGAGGAGCUGAUGAUAUAAGAAAAGGAUACAUAUAUAUAUAUAUAUAUAUACACACACACUAUCUUGAACAGACUAUGGAUGGCAAUUCAGCUUCAUCCCAUGCCUGCAACAUGGGUGUAGUCAAUGAUUCUCGCCGGGAACUUAGUAGUUGGGUAUUAUGCAUGUAAGAUCCAGCCAUUGUGCAGAAGCUUGUGGAUUUGUUUUCAGAAGUUGUUAUUGUUUGCAAUGUCCUGCUUUUGCUUUCUCAUAUGAACCGUGUAUACGAGUAAAAUAGCCGUGCAGCAGAUUGGGGCCUGGGAAUUUUGGUGACCCUAGAUGGGGUAUAUCAUGUUUUGCUAUAGUUUUGGUACUCUUAUCAGCCAUCCUGCAGACAUUCUGGAAAAUAUUCUACCUGACUUGCUGCUUUUGUAGUUGGCUUCGGAGUUCUCUGUGGCUGCAGUUCAAACCGCAUCAUAUUGCGGCAGGAGCUGCCUACCUUGCCGCAAAGUUUCUGAAUUUGGAUCUUGAUUCUUAUAAAAAUAUAUGGCAAGAAUUCCAAGCUACACCAGAUAUUCUUCAAGCUGUUGCUCAGCAGUUGACGGAACUCUUCUAGAAGGAUGGAGCAUGGUUGUUACACUAGUUUGUGUAUAAAAUUAGGAUAUGCAUAUCAUGGUCGGAUGGGAAAGCAUAUACAUGACUUUUGCAGAGGUAUGGUGUGAGGAGACGACGAGAGACGCCAAGAUAUGAUACCCAUCUUUUCUCACAACUGCUCUCCUCUUGAACCUAUUGAAGGCUUAAAAAGUGUAGUUUUUAAGGUUUUGUAACAUCUACCAGUAGUACGCUUUUCGGAGUGGUAACCUACAUAUAAUGACAAAUUCGCUGCAACGUUUUUUAUUUCUUGUGCUUCAUGUUCGUAUUUUAUCUUUGUCAAUUGUCGAACGAGGUUUUAGACAACAUAUUGAUAUCUGGGUAGUAGAAAGAUCAAAGUAGUGGGAAUGCAAUAGACAGUGCUGCAUUUGGUACUGUUUUUA